rnacentral:rRNA from 1 species
ACCGGAAACGGUAGCUAAUACCCGAUACAUCCUUUUCCUGCAUGGGAGAAGGAGGAAAGGCGGAGCAAUCUGUCACUUGUGGAUGGGCCUGCGGCGCAUUAGCUAGUUGGUGGGGUAAUGGCCUACCAAGGCGACGAUGCGUAGCCGACCUGAGAGGGUGAUCGGCCACACUGGGACUGAGACACGGCCCAGACUCCUACGGGAGGCAGCAGUAGGGAAUCUUCCGCAAUGGGCGAAAGCCUGACGGAGCAACGCCGCGUGAGUGAUGAAGGUUUUCGGAUCGUAAAGCUCUGUUGCCAGGGAAGAACGUCUUGUAGAUAACUGCUACAAGAGUGACGGUACCUGAGAAGAAAGCCCCGGCUAACUACGUGCCAGCAGCCGCGGUAAUACGUAGGGGGCAAGCGUUGUCCGGAAUUAUUGGGCGUAAAGCGCGCGCAGGCGGCUCUUUAAGUCUGGUGUUUAAUCCCGAGGCUCAACUUCGGGUCGCACUGGAAACUGGAGAGCUUGAGUGCAGAAGAGGAGAGUGGAAUUCCACGUGUAGCGGUGAAAUGCGUAGAGAUGUGGAGGAACACCAGUGGCGAAAGCGACUCUCUGGGCUGUAACUGACGCUGAGGCGCGAAAGCGUGGGGAACAAACAGAUUAGAUACCCUUGGUACUCCACGCCGUAAACGAUGAAUGCUACGUGUUAGGGGUUUCUAUACCCUUGGUGCCCGGAAUUACACAUUAAGCAUUCCGCGCGGGGGAGUACAGUCGCCACGACUGGAAACUCACACGAGUAUA